rnacentral:rRNA from 1 species
ACUAGUUUGGACUGCGAUGGCUCAUUAUAUCAGUUAUAGUUUAUUUGGUGAAGUGUACUACUUGGAUAACCGUAGUAAUUCUAGGGCUAAUACAUGAGAAAGUCCUCUGGUGAGGUGUGUUUAUUAGAAUGAAAACCAUAUGCUUCGGCAUGAUAGUGAGUAAUAGUAACCUAUCGUAUCGCAUGCUUAAUGUAGCGAUGAGUCUUUCAAGUUUCUGCCCUAUCAGCUUUCGAUGGUAGUAUAUGGGCCUACCAUGGCAGUAACGGGGUAACGAAGAA